CCAAACUUGGUCAUUUAGAGGAAGUAAAAGUCGUAACAAGGUUUCCGUAGGUGAACCUGCGGAAGGAUCAUUACAAAAAGAGGAGAAGAAGAGAGGCGUGGGCUGCUGUUUGCGCCCUCUCCCGCAUUCCCCAGGAAUGUCCCCCUUGUUUAUUAGUCAUCUGUUUCUUCGGCGGGCUCGCCCGUCAGAAGACCCUACCCAAAAACUACGUGCAUCGAAACCUGGCAGUCUGAGUUUUUUUAAUAAAUUACUUAAAACUUUCAACAACGGAUCUCUUGGUUCUGGCAUCGAUGAAGAACGCAGC
rnacentral:misc_RNA from 1 species